UUUCAGAAACACCAGCCAGAAAAGGACAACCCUCGGCAAAUCCUACAAACCCUCCCCACUUGCAAGGAUUCACACGGAUCCCACAACUUUUCAGCCUUCCGUGACUUUUACCACUCUUCUGGAGCUAACCACUUUUAAUGACCCCCCCCCCCCCCCCCCCCAGGAACAAUCACUCUUCUUCUCAGCUUUACACUUUGUCCCGGCAGCAAUCGGCUGAGCCGUCCCCCGUCUCCGGCCAGCUCCGACGACCAUAGACUCCUUCACCCGUUUGCUACCCGUCGGGACCCCGAAAGCUCCGGUUCCUGUCCCAAUUCCCUGAGCCAGCCGCCCCCAAGCCUCCCUCAACCCCCAAAUCCCGGGCAAAACAUCACCGGGUUCCCCGUUGUCCUACGCGCUCCGGAUCCGCGCGGGGUACACGUCGCCCCUUCCCCCCCGGAACCCGCUCUCCCGACCCUAACCCCUCCCUGAGGCAGGGGGGUGGGGAGGGCAAAGCUCUCCGCGGCUGGACUGAGACUCGGGAGGCCAAGCGUCCCCCUCAGCAGGCCCCGCCUGGGCCUCUCGGCUCGGCUGCCCUCCACUGCCCCCCUGGCCCCGCCGUGCUUAUGCCGAAGAGCAGGGCAACACGAGCCCAAGGCUCGGCACUUACUCGGGAAGAGUUUCCACCUGCUAAGACUCCUUAAUGACUGACCAAAACUGAGACUGGACUGUGAGCACCUGAGGGCUUUCCUGUGGAGCUCGGAGGGGAGUGGCGCAAAGGACUUUUCUUACAAGCCGAGCCCACGUGGGACGAUUGCCAGCAGCUUUUGCAGGUCCUGUUCAAGACUGAGGAAAGAGAAAAAAUCCUCAAUGAAGCCCGAAAACUAGUUCCGGGCGCAGACGGGAAUCCCACCACCAACCAGGCUCAGAUAGAUGCCUCCUUCCCCCUAACUCGGCCCAAGUGGGAUUUCAACACAGCAGAAGGUAAGGAGAGGCUCCAGGUCUACUGCCAGACUCUAAUGGGGGGGACUCCGAAUGGCUGCUAGGAAGCCAACGAGUUUGGCCAAGGUAGGAAAUGUGCAACAGGAAAAAGAUGAAUCUCCAGCUGCAUUUUUAGAACGGAUCAUGGAGGCUUUCCGUACCUAUACCCCCAUGGAUCCAGAGGCUCCAGAAAGCAAGGCAGCUGUUAUCAUGGCCUUUGUAAACCAAUCGGCCAUAGACAUUAGGAGAAAAUUACAGAAAAUAGAUAAACUAGGAGAAAAA